rnacentral:rRNA from 1 species
CCUACGGGCGGCAGCAGUGAGGAAUAUUGGUCAAUGGCCGGAAGGCUGAACCAGCCAUGCCGCGUGAAGGUCAGUGCCCUAUGGGCGUUAAACUUCUUUUGUGCGGGAGCAAUAAUGGUCACGUGUGGCCAGACGAGAGUACCGUACGAAUAAGCAUCGACUAACUCCGUGCCAGCAGCCGCGGUAAUAAGGGGGAUGCAAGCGUUAUCCGGAUUUAUUGGGUUUAAAGGGUGCGUAGGCUGUGAGGUAAGUCAGCGGUGAAAUGCCCGCGCUCAACGGGGUGAAGUGCCAUUGAUACUGCCUGGCUGGAAUGCGGAUGCCGUGGGAGGAAUGUGUGGUGUAGCGGUGAAAUGCAUAGAUAUCACACAGAACACCGAUUGCGAAGGCAUCUCACGAAUCCGCGAUUGACGCUGAUGCACGAAAGCGUGGGUAUCAAACAGGAUUAGAUACCCCAGUAGUC